rnacentral:rRNA from 1 species
UGGGGAAUAUUGCACAAUGGAGGAAACUCUGAUGCAGCAACGCCGCGUGAAGGACGAAGGUUUUCGGAUUGUAAACUUCUUUUAUGUGGGACGAAGAAAGUGACGGUACCACAUGAAUAAGCCACGGCUAACUACGUGCCAGCAGCCGCGGUAAUACGUAGGUGGCAAGCGUUGUCCGGAAUUACUGGGUGUAAAGGGCGAGUAGGCGGGACUGAAAGUCAGAUGUGAAAUGCAGGGGCUCAACCCCUGAGCUGCAUUUGAAACUUUAGUUCUUGAGUGAUGGAGAGGCAGGCGGAAUUCCCGGUGUAGCGGUGGAAUGCGUAGAUAUCGGGAGGAACACCAGUGGCGAAGGCGGCCUGCUGGACAUUAACUGACGCUGAGGAGCGAAAGCGUGGGGAGCAAACA